CCUUUAGCUGAAAGAGUUUAAAGCAGAAUAUUAUUAAAUAAACAAACAAUUCAGACAGAAAAAGGAGGAAGAAAAUUACCUUUAUCUUGUGGAUCAUCUUUAAUCUUGCAGCAGCAUCUAAACAAGAACCUUGCAGAUAAAAACAACCAACAUCAGAAGUUUUACACAACCUCAGGUUACUAAAAUAUUAACACCGUGUAUUUCAUGUUACCUGCGACUGAUCGAUCACCAGCCAGCGCUCGGUGCUCGUCUGCAUGUCCUGUCCGCUCAGAGGCUCCCGCAGUCGGAUCUUCACUUCAACACGACCUCCUGUGGCCUUACGCCCGUCCAUCACCUGUCAUGAGAGACACGAGGAUCUAAGUUACGGAUGUUUACAGGCACAUAAGUCAUCAGUGAGCAUCUUAGAGAACAAGACUUGUUUCUUUGGACGUUGUCAGGAUCAAACUCAGCAACAAACUUCCUUCCUGAUCUUUCCUCUCUCUCGAUCGGCUUAGUUUUCGAUGUAAAAGGCGACUCACCUCUACGAUCUCUCUGACUUCGCUCUGUGACUCCAGUUUGUCCAGCUUUACAAGGGCCGUCCCGAUUGGCUUGUCGCUCCGCAAGAAACCGCUGUGAGACGACACAUCGACAGCAUCACUGCCACAGUCUGAACACGACAACACUGAAGCUUACUUUCAUCUACUCUGACAUGAAUGCAGUUGUGAGAAGAGAAAGAGAGAGAGUGAGCGAGAGACAGAUGCAGUCCCCUCUUAAAGUAUUGUUACGGAGCUGGAAGAUUCAUCCCUUUGACAAUAGUAACAACCAUGUCAGUGCUGCUCAGCUCUGGAAAUAUCCUGAAAGUGAUGUUUAGGGGGAGGAAGACCUCUGGACUGAGCCAGCUUCAGGACCUCCAGACUUUUCUUACAACUCUCCGCCAUCUUCUCAAACCUGGAGCACACACAAAAAUCAGGAUUUGACUAAUCAGGUUUACAGUAUAAUGAAAUACACAAAUAGAAAGAAAAUACAUGAACUUGUUGUUUUCUGAUAACAACUCUUUGGGCUCUGGUAUCACAUUUCUGUCCCUUUAUGACAUUUUUUGAGUGUUUAGAGUUUGUACGUUACUGUUAACAAAAUAAAAAACUGUUUACUGCUUA